rnacentral:rRNA from 1 species
AUUGAACGCUGGCGGCAUGCUUUACACAUGCAAGUCGAACGGCAGCACGGGCUUCGGCCUGGUGGCGAGUGGCGAACGGGUGAGUAAUAUAUCGGCACGUACCCAAGAGUGGGGGAUAACGUAGCGAAAGUUACGCUAAUACCGCAUACGAUCUAUGGAUGAAAGCUGGGGAUCGCAAGACCUCGUGCUCCUGGAUCGGCCGAUAUCUGAUUAGCUAGUUGGUGAGGUAAAGGCUCACCAAGGCGACGAUCAGUAGCUGGUCUGGGGGGACGACCAGCCACACUGGAACUGAGACAAGGUCCAGACUCCUACGGGAGGCAGCAGUGGGGAAUUUUGGACAAUGGGCGCAAGCCUGAUCCAGCAAUGCCGCGUGAGUGAAGAAGGCCUUCGGGUUGUAAAGCUCUUUUGUCAGGGAAGAAACGGUAGGGGCUAAUAUCCCUUGCUAAUGACGGUACCUGAAGAAUAAGCACCGGCUAACUACGUGCCAGCCGCCGCAGUAACAC